CGUUAAGCCAGCCCAGGGGACGGCAGAGCAGCCUGAGGGAGCAAGAACUGUCACCACGGUCUGCCCGCGAAGCACUGAGGUGAUGCUGGGGUUGCAGUGAGCUGUCAAACUAGAUGUGUCAGAAAUGAGAAAGGAGAUGAGAGAACAAAUUAGAAUACAGAGUGAUCGACACUUUGAUGAAGGAAGUAAGUGGAGCCUGGGGUCCAUGAAACCCACUGCCAAACCAACCCAGACAGACUCAGUGUGACAUUACAAGCAUCCUGGGUGGAACUGCAAGACAUAGUUAUUUCAAGAUUAUGAAGAGUGUGGUAGCCAAACUCCAAGAUGGCCGCAUGAUCCCUCCUCCAGGUACUCGUGCCCUUGUAUGGUAUGCUCCCACAGUCUUCCGAGGAUUCCGUUGUAUGACUGAUCGAAUACAGCAGAGGCGAUGGCAUAGGACAUCUGAGGCUACAUCAUCUAAGGGAUACACAGGAAUUCACUCCCAUCCUCCCAUGUGGCUUCUACUUUGCUCUUAAUCUCUCAGAUCUCUCACCCUGGCAGACACCAUCCACCAUGUCCUGAGGACACUCAAGCAGCUCUGUGGCCUCCUGACAAUAGCUGUUAGGUGAAACACCUUGGGUGCAGACCCUCUAGCCCCACUCCAGCCUUCAGAAGACAGCAGCCCCAGCUCACAUGGGACCCUGAGCCAGACCACCAAGCAAACCACUCCCAGAUUCCUGACCCACAGAAACU
rnacentral:lncRNA from 10 species